ACUCAAAUGAAUUGACGGGGACCCACACAAGCGGUGGAGCAUGGGGUUUAAUUCGAUAAUAAGCGGAGAACCUCACCCAGACUUGACAUCUAGAGAACCCUCUGGAAACAGGGGGGUGCCGCAAGGAACUCUAAGACAGGCGCUGCACGGUCGUCGUCAGCUCGUGCCUUGAGGUGUACUGUUAAGUCAGCGAACGAGCGCAACCCUCAUCCUAUGUUGUUUUUUCAUGGGAGACUGCCGCCUCCAAGGCGGAGGAAGGUGGGGAUGACGUCAGAUCAGCGUGGCCCUUAUGUCUGGGGCAACACCCAUGCUACAAUGGUCGGUACAGAGGGCAGCAAACCCGCGAGGGCUAGCCAAUCCCAAAAAACCGAUCUCAGUUCGGAUUGAAGGCUGCAACUCGCCUUCAUGAAGUUGGAAUCGCUAGUAAACGUGAAUCAGCUAUGUCACGUUGAAUAAGUUCCUGGGUCUUGUACACACCGCCCGU
rnacentral:rRNA from 1 species